CCUACGGGAGGCAGCAGUGGGGAAUAUUGCACAAUGGGGGAAACCCUGAUGCAGCGACGCCGCGUGAGUGAAGAAGUAUUUCGGUAUGUAAAGCUCUAUCAGCAGGGAAGAAAAUGACGGUACCUGACUAAGAAGCCCCGGCUAACUACGUGCCAGCAGCCGCGGUAAUACGUAGGGGGCAAGCGUUAUCCGGAUUUACUGGGUGUAAAGGGAGCGUAGACGGCAGCACAAGUCUGGAGUGAAAUGCCUGGGCUUAACCACGGAACUGCUUUGGAAACUGUGCAGCUGGAGUGCAGGAGAGGUAAGUGGAAUUCCUAGUGUAGCGGUGAAAUGCGUAGAUAUUAGGAGGAACACCAGUGGCGAAGGCGGCUUACUGGACUGUAACUGACGUUGAGGCUCGAAAGCGUGGGGAGCAAACAGGAUUAGAUACCCCUGUAGUC
rnacentral:rRNA from 1 species